rnacentral:rRNA from 1 species
AACGAACGCUGGCGGCGUGCUUAACACAUGCAAGUCGAACGCGAAAGGGAUUUCGGUCCUGAGUAGAGUGGCGCACGGGUGAGUAACGCGUAAGUUAUCUACCCCUCCAUCUGGAAUAACUCACCGAAAGGUGUGCUAAUACCGGAUACGUUGGAAACAAGAAAGGUGGCCUCUUCUAUGCUACCGUGGAGGGAUGAGCUUGCGUACCAUUAGCUAGUUGGUAGGGUAAUGGCCUACCAAGGCAACGAUGGUUAGCGGGUCUGAGAGGAUGAUCCGCCACACUGGAACUGGAACACGGACCAGACUCCUACGGGAGGCAGCAGUGAGGAAUAUUGCGCAAUGGGGGAAACCCUGACGCAGCGACGCCGCGUGGAUGAUGAAGGCCUUUGGGUCGUAAAAUCCUGUCAGAUGGAAAGAAAUGUACAUGUGCUAAUAUCACUUGUAUUUGACGGUACCAUCAAAGGAAGCACCGGCUAACUCCGUGCCAGCAGCCGCGGUAA